rnacentral:rRNA from 1 species
AGACCCGAAACCCGGUGAUCUAGCCAUGGGCAGGUUGAAGGUUGGGUAACACUAACUGGAGGACCGAACCGACUAAUGUUGAAAAAUUAGCGGAUGACCUGUGGCUGGGGGUGAAAGGCCAAUCAAACCGGGAGAUAGCUGGUUCUCCCCGAAAGCUAUUUAGGUAGCGCCUCGUGAAUUCAUCUCCGGGGGUAGAGCACUGUUUCGGCUAGGGGGUCAUCCCGACUUACCAACCCGAUGCAAACUGCGAAUACCGGAGAAUGUUAUCACGGGAGACACACGGCGGGUGCUAACGUCCGUCGUGAAGAGGGAAACAACCCAGACCGCCAGCUAAGGUCCCAAAGUCAUGGUUAAGUGGGAAACGAUGUGGGAAGGCCCAGACAGCCAGGAUGUUGGCUUAGAAGCAGCCAUCAUUUAAAGAAAGCGUAAUAGCUCACUGGUCGAGUCGGCCUGCGCGGAAGAUGUAACGGGGCUAAACCAUGCACCGAAGCUGCGGCAGCGACACUCAGGUGUUGUUGGGUAGGGGAGCGUUCUGUAAGCCUGCGAAGGUGGCCUGUGAGGGUUGCUGGAGGUAUCAGAAGUGCGAAUGCUGACAUAAGUAACGAUAAAGCGGGUGAAAAGCCCGCUCGCCGGAAGACCAAGGGUUCCUGUCCAACGUUAAUCGGGGCAGGGUGAGUCGACCCCUAAGGCGAGGCCGAAAGGCGUAGUCGAUGGGAAACGGGUUAAUAUUCCCGUACUUGGUGUUACUGCGAAGGGGGGACGGAGAAGGCUAUGUUGGCCGGGCGACGGUU